UGAGGGAUGACUGCCUAUGGGUUGUAAACCUCUUUUAUUAAGGAAGAAUUAUGACGGUACUUAAUGAAUAAGCAUCGGCUAACUCCGUGCCAGCAGCCGCGGUAAUACGGGGGAUGCAAGCGUUAUCCGGAAUCAUUGGGCGUAAAGAGUCUGUAGGUUGCUCAGUAAGUCUGCUGUUAAAUAUUAGAGCUCAACUUUAAGCAAGCAGUAGAAACUACUAGGCUAGAGUAUGGUAGGGGUAGAGGGAAUUCCCAGUGUAGCGGUGAAAUGCGUAGAUAUUGGGAAGAACACCAGAAGCGAAGGCGCUCUACUGGGCCAUAACUGACACUGAGAGACGAAAGCUAGGGGAGCAAAUGGGAUUAGAUACCCCAGUAGUCCUAGCCGUAAACGAUGGAUACUAGAUGUUGUGCGUAUCGAUCCGUGCAGUAUCGUAGCUAACGCGUUAAGUAU
rnacentral:rRNA from 1 species